UACGAAGGGGGCUAGCGUUGCUCGGAAUCACUGGGCGUAAAGCGCACGUAGGCGGACUCUUAAGUCGGUGGUGAAAUCCUGGAGCUCAACUCCAGAACUGCCUUCGAUACUGAGAGUCUCGAGUCCGGAAGAGGUAAGUGGAACUGCGAGUGUAGAGGUGAAAUUCGUAGAUAUUCGCAAGAACACCAGUGGCGAAGGCGGCUUACUGGUCCGGUUCUGACGCUGAGGCGCGAAAGCGUGGGGAGCAAACAGG
rnacentral:rRNA from 1 species